rnacentral:tRNA from 1 species
GGGGAGGUAGCCAAGUGGUAAGGCAGAGGCCUGCAAAGCCUCCAUUCGCCGGUUCGAUUCCGGUCCUCCCCU